GAAAAGCAGGGGAUCGCAAGACCUUGCGCUGAUUGAGCGGCCGAUAUCAGAUUAGCUAGUUGGUGAGGUAAAAGCUCACCAAGGCGACGAUCUGUAGCGGGUCUGAGAGGAUGAUCCGCCACACUGGAACUGAGACACGGUCCAGACUCCUACGGGAGGCAGCAGUGGGGAAUUUUGGACAAUGGGGGCAACCCUGAUCCAGCCAUGCCGCGUGAGUGAAGAAGGCCUUCGGGUUGUAAAGCUCUUUCAGCCGGGAAGAAAACGCAUGGGUUAAUACCCUGUGUGGAUGACGGUACCGGAAUACGAAGCACCGGCUAACUACGUGCCAGCAGCCGCGGUAAUACGUAGGGUGCGAGCGUUAAUCGGAAUUACUGGGCGUAAAGCGUGCGCAGGCGGUUUUGUAAGACAGGCGUGAAAUCCCCGGGCUUAACCUGGGAACUGCGUUUGAAACUACAAGG
rnacentral:rRNA from 1 species